rnacentral:rRNA from 1 species
GGCGACUGACGCUGAGGCACGAAAGCGUGGGGAUCGAACAGGAUUAGAUACCCUGGUAGUCCACGCAGUAAACGAUGAUGACUAACCGUUGGGAAGCAAUUUUCAGUGGCCAAGUGAAAGCGAUAAGUCAUCCACCUGGGGAGUACGACCGCAAGGUUGAAACUCAAAGGAAUUGACGGGGGCCCGCACAAGCGGAGGAACAUGUGGUUUAAUUCGAUGAUACGCGAGGAACCUUACCCGGGCUCGAACGGCAAGUGAAGAGAACCAGAGAUGGUGACGCCCUUCGGGGCACUUGUCGAGGUGCUGCAUGGUUGUCGUCAGCUCGUGCCGUGAGGUGUCGGCUCAAGUGCCAUAACGAGCGCAACCCUUGCCGUCAGUUACCAGCACGUAGAGGUGGGGACUCUGGCGGGACUGCCACCGCAAGGUGAGAGGAAGGGGGGGAUGACGUCAAAUCAGCACGGCCCUUACGUCCGGGGCGACACACGUGUUACAAUGGUGGGUACAGAGGGAAGCCAUGUGGCGACACAGAGCGGAACCCAAAAACCCAUCUCAGUUCGGAUCGGAGUCUGCAACCCGACUCCGUGAAGCUGGAUUCGCUAG